UCUCUUUUGUUUUUUUUUUUUGAUAAACUACCCCAUCUCAGGUAUAUCUUUAUAGUAGUAUGAAAAUGGAGUUAUACAGCAUCCUAAUUCUGCCACAAGUCAUUGGAAGACAUUCAGAAGGUGAAAGAAGAUCAUUACUCAGUAGGACCUCUUCAAAGGCCAGGGUAAUACAAGGCAGAUGUUCUUCCAACUCAGACCAGAACCUUCUAGUACCUCAAACCACCUGGGCCUGGUGAUAUGAAAGAGGGAAUCCAGGCCAACCUCAGAAGACCUGAUAGGAAAGAUCUUGGAGUCUGGUUUAGAUUGGUCUACCCUAAAAGUUAUAGACAUCUUAUGCAAAACUGCAUAAUAAAAUUUAUGUCUGAAAAUUAAAUAAUAAUAUAGUCUUUGAUUCUUUCUGGUGUAUAAUAGGAGCAGAUUGUUCAAUAGAACAAGCAGAGGAGGAUUUUUUGUUUGUUUCUCUUUUUGCUCCUAUUUUGGGAAUACCAAAAAGAGUUAUUCUAAAUCACUCAGGUGUGAAACAAAUGACUGCAUGAAAAUUGUGAAAUACCUUCAAUUAAAAGAAGAAAACCUGUGGGCUCUUGCUGGGGUACUAGUCUAUUGUAAGAAUCCCUCUAUAGUUUAGUGUUUAGCAUUCAGACCCUCAGUCAGGUGAUACGUAUGAAAUUGCUCAAGAACUUCCUCUCACAAUAAUGUCAACUUUUUCUAUAUAAUACAGAAUGUCCAAGCUGGAAGCCACAAAAAAAAAGAUGGCUAGUUCCUAAAUCUGCAGAGGUGGAGACUAGAAUUUAGAGAUUCAUGGUCCAGCUAGCUCAAAUAGUUAAUCUCCUUGUUCUAAUUUGAUAGCUCUGUCCUUUAUGCCACUCAAACUGAAUUUUGAUACCUAUGACAAUUCUAAUGCCAUGAGGAAACACAGAUAGAAAAGGAGACAGUACCUAUUAACUUGUCUUGGGGUUGUUAGACUGAGUAUUGUAAGAGAUAAGGGCAGGUAAACGAUGAGUUGCUUUUUCUCCUCCAUUAUUAUGCUGCCUAGCAAGGAGUUGGUGUUCAAUAUGCGCUUAUUGAAUGAAGCAUUAAGUGAACUGUGUUGUGAUCCCACUAAGCACCUACUAUGCACCGACUGUGGGUUGCACACUGCAUUAAGUGCUCCACAGUCCAUAAAACACAGUCCCUGGUAUAGUUUGGAUAUUUGUCCCCGCCCAAAUCCCAUGUUGAAAUGUAAUCUCCAGUAUUGGAGGUGGGGCCUGGUGGGAGGUGACUGGAUCAUGAGGGUAGAUUUCUCAUGAAGAGUUCAGCACCAUGCCCUUGGUGCUGUCCUCGUGAUAGUGAGGAAGUUCUUCUGAGAUCUGGCUGUGUAAGUGUGUGGCACCUU
rnacentral:lncRNA from 1 species